AUGGUGAGAUAAGAUACACGAAGGCGGCAGUUGAGGUUAACAACACAGCAGCGGAUACGAUAGUCAACACAGAGACGAACUACACCCUCUCGUUCAAACAUGUUGCGAGAUUAGCUACACUAAUCUAAGAGCAACCUCUCGACAUUCUACAGCAAACCGACCAUAACAAAUCACCCACAAAUCCAAACCCUUUGUGUCACACACUGAGUGCGAAUCAGCAAAAGAAACUACAGUAUCGUACUUGUACACAAAACCGCUGUUUACAUUACCUUACAUUGCAAGACUGGGAGAGAGCAAAAGCAAUCCAAACUCAGCAAAAGAAAACUCAGCAAAGGACACCAAAGCAGCCUAGCGAUAUUGGAAGCAAUUCGAGUGACGAUUGUCCUACCGCCGUAUUCUUACCGAAAAAAAUGUCGUCUCAUAGGCCCCUUAAUCAUCGUACGACGUACCAUGUUGGACAUGACACCAUCUUCAAUGGCGCAAUGUUUUAUGCGGCAACAUGAGCCCAUUGUGGCUAUCUGCGUGGAGACAACUUUAUUUACAAAGGCGGUGUCUGUGUGUCUGUAGA
rnacentral:misc_RNA from 1 species